rnacentral:rRNA from 1 species
GGAAGUAAAAGUCGUAACAAGGUUUCCGUAGGUGAACCUGCGGAAGGAUCAUUACUGAUUUGGCGGACCGAGCGUCAGCGAGGUUCCGCGAUCGCCUGUAUUUAAAACCCACACUUCGAAUUAUGUAUAUUUUUGUAUUUUUUUAAAAAUGAUAAAAAAAAAGAUCACUUUCAACAACGGAUCUCUUGGCUCUCGCAUCGAUGAAGAACGUAGCGAAGUGCGAUAAGUAAUGUGAAUUGCAGAAUUCCGUGAAUCAUCGAAUCUUUGAACGCAAAUUGCACUCUCUGGUAUUCCGGAGAGUAUGCCUGUUUGAGGGUCAGUUUAAAUAAAAAUCGGUGUGGUUGCUGCCUUUCGUGGUGACGCACCGGAUUUGGGUCGUCUUGCCUUCGGUUAAGUGACCUAAAAUUUUGCAUGAUUUUUCGAACGUAUUUAGUUGAUUUUACGUACGUUUGUGAUAUCGAAUACUAGGUGUGAUCAUCCUCAUGAUUCGCGCCUAUAAUUUCUCAUCAAAUGACCUCAAAUCAGGUAAGAGUACCCGCUGAACUUAAGCAUAUCAAUAAGCGGAGGA